CAUUAAGAAGCUAUGCAACAGCGCUAGCCUUUUAAGCUAGAAAAAGAGGACCCCCAACCCUCCUUAAUGAU
rnacentral:tRNA from 1 species